rnacentral:misc_RNA from 1 species
CAACCCUCGAACCCCUCCGGGGGAUCGGCGUUGGGGAUCGGGACCCCUCACACGGGUGCCGGCCCCGAAAUACAGUGGCGGUCUCGCCGCAGCCUCUCCUGCGCAGUAGUUUGCACAACUCGCACCGG